CGAGCAAUCUGCCCUUCACAUCGGAAUAACCAUUGGAAACGAUGGCUAAUACCGAAUAUGACUUCGGAUCGCAUGAUCUGAAGUGGAAAGCUCCGGCGGUGAAGGAUGAGCUCGCGGCCUAUCAGCUUGUUGGUGAGGUAAUAGCUCACCAAGGCGAUGACGGGUAGCCGGCCUGAGAGGGUGACCGGCCACACUGGGACUGAGACACGGCCAGA
rnacentral:rRNA from 1 species